CGGAUCUCUACAAUUCCCCUCUGUCCACCUUCCUUCCAUCUCUUGGGCAGCCUGACAUUUGAUGAGGACAGACUCACAGAAUAAAAAUGUUCCAAAUGGGUGGCUGGAAAAAGUGACAUCAUGGGAAACAAGAAUCAAAUCCAGAGGCCGUGCCUGCUGUCUAUAUUACAAUCAGUAUCCACACUUUAACGCAGGGUGAAAUGGGACUCUGCAAACACCAGAACUGUAGCUCCAGUUGGCCAAAUGUAUUCUACCAAGACCUCAGGAAUUCCCGGCUCCUCUUGUUCCAGCAAGUACGACUUUCUGACCUGCAGGGCAUCCACUAAGGAAGGAGAGAGGAAACAUGACAUCUAAUCAAGAAAUACUGGAACAGUUCAUCUGUUAGAGACUUACAUUUCCUGUGGUUGUUCUGAAGGUAGAACUGAAACCAAUGAGUAAGAAUC